rnacentral:rRNA from 1 species
UACGGAGGGAGCUAGCGUUGCUCGGAAUUACUGGGCGUAAAGCGCACGUAGGCGGCUUUUCAAGUCAGGGGUGAAAGCCCGGGGCUCAACCCCGGAAUUGCCCUUGAAACUGGAAGGCUAGAAUCACGGAGAGGUGGGUGGAAUUCCGAGUGUAGAGGUGAAAUUCGUAGAUAUUCGGAAGAACACCAGUGGCGAAGGCGGCCCACUGGACGUGUAUUGACGCUGAGGUGCGGAAGCGUGGGGAGCAAACAGG